rnacentral:rRNA from 1 species
CCUACGGGGGGCAGCAGUGAGGAAUAUUGGUCAAUGGGCGGGAGCCUGAACCAGCCAAGUCGCGUGAAGGAAGAAGGAUCUAUGGUUCGUAAACUUCUUUUGCAGGGGAAUAAAGUGCGGGACGUGUCCUGUUUUGUAUGUACCCUGAGAAUAAGGAUCGGCUAACUCCGUGCCAGCAGCCGCGGUAAUACGGAGGAUCCGAGCGUUAUCCGGAUUUAUUGGGUUUAAAGGGUGCGUAGGUGGUUUGAUAAGUCAGCGGUGAAAGUUUGCAGCUUAACUGUAAAAAUGCCGUUGAAACUGU